ACGCGCUAGCAGCCGUCCCUUGAUGAUGACACGCGCGGGCGGUGUGAUGAAGGGCUGUGAGAUGGCCUCAGUGCAGAAGCCAGUGAGAUGCCAUCGCUCAGGCCAGACCUGGGGGCUCAUGCAGGAGAAAAGAAGCAGUACAGAGAGAGAGAGAGAGCAGCACAAGAUGAAAUCCCUGUUGCCAUGCAUGGAGCUUGAGUAGAUUCUUGACGAGGCUAUCGGUUCAGUGGCAGAUCGUUAAUAGCAAACACAAUCACAGCACCUGGCGUGAAUGACAAUGGAUAACAAGGAGCAGAGCAAGAAGCUGAAGCAGCAGCGAAGGUCUCCAGGUCCCAGAUGCCAGUCAAAGCUGGAUCCACAAUGUCCGCUUCAACAAAAUGGACUGAUCCAUGGCAGAGAAUGACCGAACAAGAGAAGAGCAAAGGGCUGGGAAAAAGAGAAGGAAAAAUUAUUCUCUUGUUAUUUGUAUUCCUCCCUACCACCAAAGUGUUUUCGUUCAUAAAGACAUUACGUUUCAAAAGGGUUCUUAUCUGAUAUGGCCUAACACAAGAUGAUCUUUAUUGCUACACAGUUUAGCACAGCCAGACAUA